CGCCCCGGCCCAGCCAGCCCUGGCGCGCGGGGAGCGCAGCUCUUCGCUUCCGCCUGGUGGCGGGAAAGAGACCGAAAGGAGGAGCUGCAAGCGGGCGGGUGCGCGGGUGCGCGAUCAAUAUAUGUGAGCCACCAGCAAACAACAUUUAUCGAGAACAGGAGAAUACAUAUCCAGUAAGAGGAAAACCUAAAUAUAAGCAACAAACCCUGGUCUUCCUAUGCUUUAAUGAUCCUAGAAAUUAAAAAAAAACAUCAUGUGGCUGCUGUGAGAAUCUGUCGAGAGCCUAAGAGAACUGCAUCAUGAUUUUAAGGAUAACAAUCACUUCCAUGUAAACCAUGUAGAACCCUAUAUGCCAUAUUGUAUGCACUCAAUAAAUGUUAGAUAGUAUUACCUCUAUUG
rnacentral:lncRNA from 1 species